UCCCCUGUCUUCGGCCCCUCCCUUCAUCCAGCACUGAAAAGCAUCUCUAAUUCCGGCGGGCACCGUGGUUGUAGCUCUGCGGCAAGCUCGGCACAGGUGCCAACUGUUAUUCACUCUGCAGCUUCCAUUCCCACAGCUCAGCACCUGCAAAGCCCCCAUUAGCAUCGUGCCAAGGAGAGGGGCUGCGGCUGUGUGUGUGCGUGCCUGCGUGCGAGCGCACGUGCCCGUCUGCCGGUGCUCGCGGGAGCCACGAGGGAAAUUUCCAGCACAAAGAUCGUAUGCCUGAGAGAGAGGAGAAUUGCUCAGCAAACUUCAGAAGCGAUCAAAAUGUCCUCUCCAUAAAGUCCCGGCUUAAAAAAUGUUAGCAGCAGUGCUUACUGAGUGCCUCGUGUGCAGGGCCCUCUUCCAGGCCCUGUGCUCACGGCGAUGCUGAGGUCCCUCCCGUGGGGAGAAGCAGGCAAUAACGAAGGGACGAAGGGAAGGAGCGAUCACUGCUACAGAGGAAGGAAAUCAGAGUGACUGGAAGCGGCUAGUCAGGGAAGGCUCUGGCGAGGGACUCUGGAGCCCAGCAGCCUGACAAGAAGGGGCCAGCUCGGGGGAGACAGCCAGGUAGCCCCUGAGAGGGCUCUGGAGACCACACCUGCAGUCCCUGCCUCCCCCGAUGUCCCACCUGUCUGUCCCUGCUCCCUCUGCUGAUGACCCUGCGCCAGCCCCCUCAGCGGUGAUGAAGGCCUGGGCCACGGCUGCCUCUGGACAUGGCACAGGCGUCCUGCCUGGGGGGCGGCCCUAGAAAUGUGACAUUCUCCUGGCCCACUGGGCUGAGAGUCCACCACGGCCCUCACGCUCCCAUGGUGGAGGGCGUUUAAUAUGGGGAAGUGCACGUGGUCCGCCUGCCCACUAAAGCAGACACCCAGAGCCCCCACCCUCCUCUGUGCUCUUUCGAGGCAGACCAGUGUGCUCAUCAAGAGUGCAGGCUCCGGGGCAGAUGGCCCGGUUACUGGCUGUGUGACCCUGGACGGUUCCUCAGCCCCUCUGUGCCUCAGUAUCCUUGUCAGGGAGGUAGGGAAAUAAUGCUGGUGCUGCUGUGAAGACUCAAGGAAGCAGGGCAGGGGCUCUGGACACGCUAGCUGUGAUCGUACGGACGGCUGUUUGUGGGGCCGUGCUGGCCCGGAGUUUGGUUGCAGGUGACAGGAAUGGACUCCAGCCAUCUCAGACAGGAGGGCAUGCCUGGGGAGAGCUCCCUUUCCUGCCGUGUCUCACUCCAGCCUUGGCCCUGAGAGUGGGUGUGUGGUCAGCCCGCCCUGCCAUGUGGGGGACCAGGCGGGGGAGUCAGCUCUGAGUGAAGGGGCAGCAAGGGGCCGGCGAGGGCCUGCCCUCUUCCGAGACUGUCCCUGUGAAGACACACCAAGCCGGCGGCUUUCGGCAGACCCAACCCCACACCGUGCGUCCACGCUGUUUGAUUUGAAAGCCCUUUUCCCACACACUGCUGAGCUCAGCUGGCACCAGGGUGGUGGACUGCAGGUGCACGGACAGGGAGCCGGAGGCUCGAGUCCUCGGGGCUGGCUAGGAUCCUGGCACUGGCCCCUGAGAGUCCCGUCUGUGCCCUGUGUGAACUGGGCAGGCCUUCGGGGCAGUGAGACAGCCUCAAGUCCUGGCGGUCAAUCCACGACAUGCUCGGUGUCCUGGCUGCAUCCCCUCACCUCUGGGCGCCAGCUCCAGGGUCGAGCGCACAUCCUUGGCAAGGGCACCUCGCUUAAGGAAUGCUGGCCUUCGGCAUAUGGCCCUCUUUCCAUCACAAAAGGGUGAUGAGACGCUGCGCUCAUGGGCCGCAUCCUCGGGGCGGGGUCCCACGCCAGGCGCUCGGAGCAUCUCUGGAAAGGGCACCAGGGACUGCCAAGGUGUUCUCACUAUUAUUAUUGAGCAUAAAACACUGCAAAUGCUGGCAGAUCUGCAGGCAAAGUGGAUCCUCCUUCCUGGGGAGAGAUCGGAGGGCAGCUUUACGAGUCUAUUGGAGUCACGGCCCCGCAGAGGGAGCGGGCUCGGUGGACGCCUUCAAGAGCAGAGCUGUUCCGGGCUGGGAAGUCUGAUUCCCUACAUCUGUUUUUAUGGGAACUGCUGGGAGCCGCGGGGGGAAGCAGGAGUAUGAACAGCGCAGACGGCAGCGGCCUCCUCACCAGACUGUUGAUGGGUUCGGCCGCAUAAACGUGGCCCUCGGUCUGAGGCAGGAGUUAUUAAACGAGACGAGCCCACCGAGAGGGGCUCAAGCCGCAGAAGAGGAAUCAGGGCUUUAUGCCCCCCGGUUCUGCGCAGUUAAAGAAAAUAUCCCCAUUAAAUGCGAAUUAAUUGGCUCCUGUCAUUGGUGCGGCCCUGCCUCUGGCCUCGUGGUGGGCCGGGCGGUUGAGAGGCCUGUCCCGGGCGGCCGGGUGGGAGUCCACGCAGGCCCGUGCUGCUGAAUUGCUUCCUGCCGUCCUGCCCGAGCCUGCUGCAGGGAGCACUGGCUCCUGGCGGGAGGGCGAGCUGCCAGUCUGCUCGUAGCUCCUCACCUGUCCCCUGGGGGCUGCCAUCCUUGUUCCCACUGGCAUCUUGUUGCUGCAGGAGGCUGGGACCUAGUCAGGCACUGUGGGACACACACGCUUACACGUUCAGCCCCAGAGAGGAGGCCUCCAAGUGGGCUCACAAGGUCUGCCCAGUCCAGCCCCGACGUCUUGGUCAGGGCUGCUACACACAGUUGUGCGUGUCAUGCACCACAUGAUCUGGCCCAAACCCCUUCUGCACUCUAUUCAUUAUAGCCCUGGGCCUGUCCCCACCCAGGGGGCACUUUUCUGAGGGCCCCAUGCCAGCUAGCAGAGAGCUGGUUCUGGCGUUCUGGACUCGACUACACUCGCCAUCCUGUAGCCGCACUCAAGCAUACCCCCUGCCCCAAACGCCACAGGGCCUGUGUCUGCACCAUCCCUCCCUCUCCGUGGUGCUCCCCUCUUCUCUGCACCCAGUGAGCCAAGCCUCCCAGCCCAUGCAAACGCCACCUCCUCCUCUAGGCCCUUCCCUCUGAGCUUCACCUGUCGCCCCUGCCUUCCUUCUGGAAACAGUGCCCGCCUGGCACACACGCAUGCUCUUUUCGGGGAUUUGCUCCUCUGUCACUCCAGGCCCACCCCUGCAGCAGUUGACGGGUCCCUGCUGGGCACACGGCCCAGGCCCGCGGCUCAGCUGUCCCCUAGGCUACUCUGGAACCACAGCUGGAAGGAGAUGUGUGGUCCUUUUGUGAGAGGUCAGGAUGUGAGCGCCUCCAGGGGCCUUGCUGAGGAGGCUGCCUUGGAAAGAUGAGCAGCCCUGGUCCCUUCGGCUGGGCCCUGGCCCAGAGCCUCUCCUCUGCUGGGGUCCUGUCCCUGGACACACUGGGGUUAAGCGUUGCCCUCCUGUGGCUCGGGGAGUCGUGCUCACCUGAAGACUGUGGGUAGCCCGGGGUCCUGCGGGAUGUCUGAAGGAAGGUGGGCCAAAAGAUGGAGAAAAGGGUGGCCGAG
rnacentral:lncRNA from 1 species